GAAAUGCGAUAAGUAAUGUGAAUUGCAGAAUUCAGUGAAUCAUCGAAUCUUUGAACGCACCUUGCGCUCCUUGGUAUUCCUUGGAGCAUGCCUGUUUGAGUAUCAUGAAAUCUUCAAAGUAAAUCUUUUGUUAACUCAAUUGGUUUCUACUUUGGUAUUGGAGGUCUUUGCAGCUUCACACCUGCUCCUCUUUGUUCAUUAGCUGGAUCUCAGUGUUAUGCUUGGUUCCACUCGGCGUGAUAAGUUAUCUAUCGCUGAGGACACUGUAAAAGGUGGCCAAGGUAAAUGCAGAUGAACCGCUUCUAAUAGUCCAUUGACUUGGACAAUACUUUUAUGAUCUGAUCUCCAAUCAGGUAGGACUACCCGCAGAACUUAAGC
rnacentral:misc_RNA from 1 species